AAACUAUAUGCAAAUACUAAAUGUGUUACUGUUACGGGUAACAUGAGAUGAUUUAUUCAUUUAAUCAGAUUAAUCUGUUAAUUCCAGAAGACUGUAGCUUUGAAUUAUAUCUAUGUUUGCAUUACCAGUAACUGGAAGUCAGCUAAGCAUGUUGCUGGUUCACCUUUAUGGAGAGCUAUUGGAGUGAUUUUAGUAUUUUGCAUAUUGGAUAUAGACUCCUUUAGGAUCUCUAAGGAGACCGCUGUCUUCCAAAUCUUCACACUGUUAGAAACAGGAUACUGAGCUAGCUGGAUCACUAGUCUGAACAGAUGAAAACUGAAGCCUGUAUUUGUUUACUGUGAGUUGUUAUAUGUAAAGACUGAACUGGAAGUCUGCUUAGCACCCCAGGACUGGAAGGAAGUCUAAGUCCGGUGGCUACAGUAAAAAUGCUGUUACAUUCACCCUGAGAAAGAAACACCUACAUGUAAAGAUUUCAGGAAUCCUGUCACCUUCCUUCAAACAUCUAAGCCAUGCUUCAUUAACAUUAGAAAGAAAAGCUUACAUGUCACAAAACCACAUUACCUUGCAUGUAGGAGAGUCAAACAGCUGAGAAGUUUAACACAACCUGCUCAGAAGCAGCUGCUUUUCUCACAGUCUACUGUCUACAGACAGAUACAGCUGUAAGCAAUAAAAUUAAAGUGACUGUCUUGCACUGAGUUUUGCUAUGUACCUCUGUGCUUUUGAACAAGUGUCUUCUUAGCUCCAUAACAGUUCUUCAAAAUAUUAUUUAAUUAGUUUUACUAUUACACCUAAAGGAAGGGAACUCACAACCCUGAGCAGCUGUAGCUCAGUUUAUAAUUGAAAAAACCUACUUCACAGCAGCUGUGAACAUGCAUAGCCUGCUCUUUCCUGUAUUCAUUAUUGAAGCUGAGUUAAAUCCCAGUCUCUGAAAGCAAGGAGGUUAGUGGAAGAGGUAGGUAUGACUUGACAUAUAUAAAACAUUUUCAU